AACAAACGCUGGCGGCGUGUCUUAAGCAUGCAAGUUGAGCGGCAAGGAGGAGAGAUCCUCCCUAGAGCAGCGGACUGGUGAGUAACGCGUGGGUAAUCUAUCUUAGGCAUGGGGAUAGUCACUAGAAAUAGUGGGUAAUACCGAAUAAGUUCCAUAAGGGGAGGACUUAUGGAAGAAAGGUGCUACGGCACUGGCCUUAGGUGAGCUCGCGUCCCAUUAGCUAGUUGGUGAGGUAAAGGCCCACCAAGGCGAUGAUGGGUAGCCGGCCUGAGAGGGUGUACGGCCACACUGGGACUGAGAUACGGCCCAGACUCCUACGGGAGCAGCAGCUAAGAAUAUUCCGCAAUGGACGGAAGUCUGACGGAGCGACGCCGCGUGGAUGAAGAAGGCCGAAAGGUUGUAAAGUUCUUUUGCUAGGGGAGAAUAAGUGUGGGAGGGAAUGCCUGCACGAUGACAAGGACUAGCGAAUAAGUCCCGGCCAACUACGUGCCAGCAGCCGAC
rnacentral:rRNA from 1 species